rnacentral:rRNA from 1 species
UACAGAGGGUGCGAGCGUUAAUCGGAAUUACUGGGCGUAAAGCGCGCGUAGGCGGCUUUGCAAGUCGGGUGUGAAAUCCCCAGGCUUAACCUGGGAACUGCACUCGAGACUGCAUGGCUAGAGUAUGGGAGAGGGAAGUGGAAUUUCAGGUGUAGCGGUGAAAUGCGUAGAUAUAGGAAGGAACACCAGUGGCGAAGGCGACCACCUGGACUGAUACUGACACUGAGGUGCGAAAGCGUGGGGAGCAAACAGG